ensembl:lncRNA
GAGAGGAGAGAGUGAGUGAGAGGGACAGAGAGGUAGCAGUCAGCAACAUGUAGCCUCGCCGAGUGGAGGAAAGGUCGAAACUGUGUGUGCGCGAUUCUUUGCUCUUUUCUUUUUUGUCGGGAGGGGUGAUAUGUUUCGCUUUCAUCCCGAGGACAUUAUCCCGCAACAUUAGAAUCGAUCAGGCUCUAUGCCGCAGGAAAUGUCCAGCGGAGGGAUGGACGGAUGGAUUGUGGUGCACGGAGAGAAGACGCGGAGAGCAAAAAGAGAAGAAAAAGAGUGCGGGGCUCCUGAAAACAUGCGCUCCAUCAGCCUUUGUGAAUGGAUGCCUGAGAGCAAGGAGAUGAAUGGACCUGCAUUGGUGUGUUUCAUCAUACACUGACAUGACUCCCCUUGUCCUCCAUUGCCCCUAAUGCACACACACACACACACACACACACACACACACACACACACACACACACACACACUCUUUGAGCAUAUCUGAUUCAGAACUUGUGCUACUGUCAACAGUGUAGAGAGGAAACUAAGUGAACCUGCAGUGCCAAAUCAAGAGAGAUUGGCAUGGAGGUGGGAGGUGAAGGAGGAGAAAAGAGAAGGAAAGGCGAAAAAGAGAUGAUUACAGGAAGAUUAAAGGAUGUACUGUACUGUGCAAAAGUCUGGAGUCAUCCUUCAUGACUUUA